rnacentral:rRNA from 1 species
GAUGAACGCUGGCGGCGUGCCUAAUACAUGCAAGUCGAGCGAACAGACGAGGAACUUGCUCCUCUGACGUUAGCGGCGGACGGGUGAGUAACACGUGGAUAACCUACCUAUAAGACUGGGAUAACUUCGGGAAACCGGAGCUAAUACCGGAUAAUAUAUUGAACCGCAUGGUUCAAUAGUGAAAGACGGUUUUGCUGUCACUUAUAGAUGGAUCCGCGCCGCAUUAGCUAGUUGGUAAGGUAACGGCUUACCAAGGCAACGAUGCGUAGCCGACCUGAGAGGGUGAUCGGCCACACUGGAACUGAGACACGGUCCAGACUCCUACGGGAGGCAGCAGUAGGGAAUCUUCCGCAAUGGGCGAAAGCCUGACGGAGCAACGCCGCGUGAAUGAUGAAGGUCUUCGGAUCGUAAAACUCUGUUAUUAGGGAAGAACAAAUGUGUAAGUAACUAUGCACGUCUUGACGGUACCUAAUCAGAAAGCCACGGCUAACUACGUG